GACGAACGCUGGCGGCGUGCUUAACACAUGCAAGUCGUACGGUAAGGCCCUUUCGGGGGUACACGAGUGGCGAACGGGUGAGUAACACGUGAGUAACCUGCCCACAACUUUGGGAUAACGCUAGGAAACUGGUGCUAAUACUGGAUAUGUGCUCCUGCUGCAUGGUGGGGGUUGGAAAGCUCCGGCGGUUGUGGAUGGACUCGCGGCCUAUCAGCUUGUUGGUGGGGUAGUGGCCUACCAAGGCGGCGACGGGUAGCCGGCCUGAGAGGGUGACCGGCCACAUUGGGACUGAGAUACGGCCCAGACUCCUACGGGAGGCAGCGGGGGGGAAUAUUGCACAAUGGGCGCAAGCCUGAUGCAGCAACGCCGCGUGCGGGAUGACGGCCUUCGGGUUGUAAACCGCUUUCAGCAGGGACGAAGCUUUUUGUGACGGUACCUGCAGAAGAAGCACCGGCUAACUACGUG
rnacentral:rRNA from 1 species